UCCGGGGCACAAACCCCGUCUGCCUCUGCUACGCCGUACAGCAGACGCACAACUGCUCCUCCCCCUGGAGAGCCUUAGGGCUCAAGGUCGAACGCCUGCUCAUGCUGCCCGGUGCUUGCAACCUCGACAACUCCAACGCUAGCAAUUGUAACGGAACUACUGUGUUUCUUCUUCUGCUAGUGAAGAGAAACAUCUUGAGGAAGAAAGAGAUGAAAAGGAUAAGAAACGGAGAGUUGAAGCUUUGUCGGUUUUUUCUGAGAUGAUAGAAACUGAUCACAUGAUGGAUUCUUACUGGUCUGACUUGAUAUCUCAUAACCGCCCUACUAAAAUCGAAGUCGAAGUUCAUGCUC